rnacentral:tRNA from 1 species
UAGAUAUUAGUAAAAAUAUUACAUAACUUUGUCAAAGUUAUAUUACUGGUUUAACCCCUGUAUAUCUUU